GGGGUCGACCGGAAUUGACAGGGUAGUGAUGAGUAUGUAAGCAUACAGCGCAUUGUGAGUCUAGCGCUUUAAUCUGAACUUUCAAACAAUAAUCGGCGAAAAUAACUACGCCUUAGCUGCCUAAUUUAGAAUUAGAUAAGCUUUUGUCUCGCUAGGUUCUGCUUUGUUACUUAGCAACUGGGACAUCGAACAACAAAGCUGGCUUGGGUUUAAUGGUGUAAUAAUUUAAGCAAGAUAAGACACCUAAGAAAGGCGGUACAGGUGCGUUGUUAACUUUCCCCUUUCCGACAACCGAAUAGCAACUAAGUAUGUAGAAAGCAUAGUUUAUCCUAUGUUUGGACGAGGGUUCGAAUCCCUCCGACUCCACAA
rnacentral:tmRNA from 1 species